AGCAGCAGCCGCGGUAAUACAGAGGGUGCAAGCGUUAAUCGGAAUUACUGGGCGUAAAGCGCGCGUAGGUGGUUUGUUAAGUUGGAUGUGAAAUCCCCGGGCUCAACCUGGGAACUGCAUCCAAAACUGGCAGGCUAGAGUAGGGCAGAGGGUGGUGGAAUUUCCUGUGUAGCGGUGAAAUGCGUAGAUAUAGGAAGGAACACCAGUGGCGAAGGCGACCACCUGGGCUAAUACUGACGCUGAGGUACGAAAGCAUGGGGAGCAAACAGGAUUAGAUACCCCUGUAGUCCCUGUCUCUUAUAA
rnacentral:rRNA from 1 species